CACUACCUUCUGCUGAAUCGACUAAGCGAACACCUAACCAGGCUAACUGAUGGACUUCCUAAGCUAACUUCUUCUUACUGUCCUCCACAUUAGUAACACUACCCAUAGACAUUCUACGAAGGGCGUCACCACUAUGUUGGCUUUGCCUGGAUAAUACAGAACACUCAUGUCGUAGUCUUUUAAUAACUCCAACCACCUUAUCUGAUGGAGGAUUAGGUUUUUUUAAGAGAACACAAACUACAGGCUCUUAUGAUCAGUGAGCACAUUAACUGCACACCAUAUAAAAUAGUGCCUCCAAAUCUUUAAGGCAAACACUACUGCUGCUAACUCAAGAUCGUGAGUAGGAUAUUUCUUUUCAUGAGGCUUAAGCUGUCUAGAGGUGUAGGCUAUUACCUUACCUCUCUACACUAAAACACAACCCAAUACGACUCUGAAAGUGUGAUAAUACACAACGAAGCUGUCAAAACUAUCUGGUAGGGUAAAAACUGAAGCUAUGGUAAGUCAAGUCUUCAACUCCUGAAAACUUUUCUCACAAAAAUCUGACCACUGGAACUUGACUUUCUUCUGAAUCAAUUUGGACAUAGGGGAUGCAAUAGACAAAAAUCCCUCAACAAACCAUCGGUAAUAGCCAACCAAACCCAAGAAACUCCUGAUAUCUGAUAGAGAGAUGGGUCAGGGCCAGUUUCUCAUUGCCUCAGUCUUUUGGGGAUCAACUCUAAUGCCAUCACCGAAAAUGAUAUGUCCAAGGAAUGCUACUGAUCUUAUCCAAAAUUUGCACUUACUGAAUUUGGCGAAUAACUGAUGGUUUCUGAGAGUCUGCAAUACUAUUUUGAGAUAGUCUGCAUGAUUUGUGUUCACUACGGGAGUAAACAAGAAUGUCAUCUAUGAAGACUAUUACCAACAUGUCUAAAUACUGUUUGAACACACGGUUCAUCAAGUCCAUGAAGGCUGCUAGGGCAUUGGUAAAAUCAAAGGACAUGACUAAAAAUUGAAGUGAUCGUACUGAGUUCUGAAAGCUGUUUUUGGGCUGUCACAUUUCCUGACUCUGAGCUGAUGAUAGCUUGAUCUGAGGUCUUUCUUAGAGAAAUAGCUAGCACCCUAAAUUUGGUCAAAUAAGUCAUCGAUUCUGGGAAGUGGAUACUUGUUCUUAACCAUAACUUUAUUUAACUAAUGGUAAUCUAUACACAUUCUGAGGGAACCAUCUUUCUUAUGUAUAAAUAAAAUUGGUGCACCCCACGAGGACACACUCGGUCUAAUGAAUCCCUUAUCUAAGAGAUUCUUUAACUGUUCCUUUAAUUCAGUGAGUUCUGUAGGUGACAUUUUGUAUGGAGGAAUACAUAUGGGCUGAGUAUCUGGAAGGAGAUCAAUUGCAAAAUCAAUUUUCCUUUUGGGAUGAACUCCUGGAAGAUCUUCGGGAAACACAUCUGGGAAUUCAUAUGCUACUAAUUCUAAUUCAAGAGUAAGGGUUUCUGAACUAGAGUCCUGGACUCGAACGAGAUGGUAGACAUAUCCCUUUGAUAUUAUUUUUCUUUCCCGAAGGUAAGAAACAAACUGACCAUGUUGAGACUGAAAUUGAAACUGGACAAUUCUAUUUCUGCAGCUGACUGAGGCAUAUAAGGAAUGAAGCCGAUCCAUGUUGAGAAUGACAUCAAAAUCAAUCAUCUCUAAUUCGAGGAAUUCUGCUGACCUGAAUUUCUGAGAUAUCAUAAUUGAAUAGUUCCUGUAUUCUCGUCGGGCUACGAUAUAUUUACCCACUGGGAUAGAGACUGAGAAAGGCUCUGCUAGAAUUUCUAGACUGACUCCAAAAUCAACUACUAUAUAAGGAGUCACAAAUAACAAGAAAGCUCCUGGAUCUAGCAAAGCCUAAAUAUUCAAAUGAUAAACUUGUAACAUACCAGUGACCACAUCAGGAGAACUUUUUUGAUCCUGUUGGGACUGAAGAGCAUAGAAUCUAUUUGAGCACUACCCACUGGUGGCACUGGAUGAGGCACCUUGCCGAUUUGGGUGGUCGGACUGAGCUGGGGGAUGGGUAUGCUGACUAUACAAACCCACCUGAGGACACUGUCUGACUAUGUGGCCUGGCUUGCUAUAUUUGAAACUCACAUCCUUGCCAGCUCUGCAGAUACCUUGGUGGUUUCUGCUAUACUUCUGGCAAAGGGGAUUGGUUUGGGCACUGCUAACACUGCCCUGAGGCUUAAGGCUUGAUGCCCUAUCUCUGUUGCCAUCUCCGAAUUUCAGCUUUGGCACAGUGGCUAAGAACAGAGCUGGAACUGAGGAUUUUGGGCAGAACUAAGAAUGAUUCCCACCCUCUGACUUAGGCUGAGCAAAGCUGAAACUAGCUAUCCUCACUCUGUUGCUCCCCCUCUCCUUCUCUUUAAUCUUGGCCUUCUUUAUUUAUUGAGCAUGGACCAUAAUCCUGGAUAUGUCCAUCUCCUUUAUCAGCAUUGCGGUCCUGCACUCUUUGACCACAUUGCUAGACACCCAUGAUACAAACUUACUCAUCGUAGAUCUGCUAUCUGCCACAACAUGCAGGGCAUAUCUGGCCAAUUGAGUAAACUUGAGAAAAUACUCCUGCACUGUCAUAUUACCCUACUUCAGGUUGAUAAACUCUAAAACUUUCAUUUCCCUCAACUCUAGUAGGAAGAACCUAUCCAGAAAAGCAACUGCAAACUCCUCCCAUUCCAUGGGCCCUGUAUUAGCGGCCCUCUCUGCUUUCCAUUGUUUGAACUAUGAGCGAGACACAUCUUAUAAUUGAUAUGAGACCAACUCAACAUUGUCAGCAGCAGUCAUCCCCAUGAUAUCUAUAACCUUCUACACCUGAUCAAGAAAUUCCUGAGGGUCCUCAUUUGACUUAGACCCGGUAAACGAUGGAGGGUUCAUUUGGGUGAAGUCCUAAAUCCUCGAAGCAAUAGUAUUAGCCACUGGGUUGGUCGGAAUGGAAGCUGGGCAUUUAUUUUGGGCUACUACAGAAUGAGAUAGGGUGGUGAAGGCUGCUCUGAACUCCGUAUGGGAGACAUGCUCACCCAAAGAAUCUGGAUGGACGGGCUGACUGGUCUCCCAUUUCUCUUCCCUGAGUUCUCUUUGGAGGCAUAUUCUGUAAAUGGAAGAGAAGCUAAGAUUAGAAAGAGAGUGUAACUGGAGCUCAUGCUCACCCGCACAACAUGGAUACUGAAAAAAAAGAAAACUUUUCCAAAAACAUCUCAUAGCCUCCUAUCCAUAAGUGUGUCGCGUAAUACACCUAUGCACAAAACUCUACUAGAUGCGGCUUUUAGACUUCCUAGGACACUGUUGAACCUUAGGCUCUGAUACCAAGUUUGUAACGCCCCGAGUCUAUACCCUAAACGCUCCAUGGUGCUCAUAAUGUUGAAGGACCAUAAGCUAACCCAUAACUGGUACCUGCUGCAAUAACUAUGUAAUAAAUACUAUAAUGAUUGUGGAAAUAGACAAAAAAACAUAUGCCAUCAGGUUCACAUCUGUAAAUAAAUCUGAAUAUAAGUACUGAAAAACUGAACAACUGUCUGAAAAUACUUUAGUCUGAAAAGCCUCCAACUGUCUGAACUGUGGAGUUGAUGGAACAAGCCCCCAACUAACUCCAUCUACUAAAAUAAAAUUGAAUUACUAUAAAUAAUAAUCAUGUCCUUGAAUUAUAAGGACUCACCACUACCCUAAAAGCUGAGAAUCUGAACAGCUAAGGGUACUCUGGAGCCCGUGCAUUUGAACCUAUGAUAUAAGACAUCAUAGCGCAAAGAAAAACAUGCGUCAGUACUUUGAAUGUACUGGUAUGCUCAGUGAGGUAGGCUGAAAUGCAUGGUUUCAUAUGCAUGCACAAUAAUAAUUGAAUAACAUGAGUAUGACUGAGUAAGAGUACAUGCAUAAAUAUAUAGACUAUAAUUGAGAUCGUGCUAAUACUGAGUACUGAAUCUGAAUAUUGAUAACAGAUAUCUGAGUUUAUGAAUACAGUAUUACUGAUUAUUUAAAUAACUAUAUCUAACAGUUUUGAAUACUAUGGAACCAUACUGAAUUUCAUAUUGAGCUGAGUGACUAUGUCUGAUAGUCCUGAAUUUGUAGAACUGAACUGAGUUUUAUUCUUAAACUGAGACUGUGGGAGGUAAUCAUCUAAUCGACAUGCCCCUUUCUAAACUGAUUGAGGUACAACCUGUAACCCCAGUUGGAAGGGUGCCAAUAUCGUAUCAUGGGUAAGGACAAGCUGUGAGUUAACCCUCUCUGAUAGAAAGCUCUUCUGUCAACCCUCGCUGGUAGGAUAACUCGAAUGAGAUAUAUCAAUCCUUAAUAUAUUUUGCAGAAAGAUAUCUCAACCUACACUGGCUACACAGUUCUGUAAUACAGGGAUUGCUAUUAAGGGUCAAACCCUCUGCUGGCAGGAAUGUCCCCAUCCCUGGGUUAACUCGAUUCUGAAUCCUACUCCCAACUGAAUAAACACUGAACUAAUUCUAGUCUGUACUAGGAUGGACUGAGUUGUUACUGAUAUUGUUGUUUAACUGAAUUGGGUACAUUGAGUUCCAUGGACUAUCGAAAACUACUAAAUUCUAUUAACUGACUGAGUUUAUCGAGGUCUGGACAGAGUAUUGAACUAGACUGGAAGAAUACUGAGUCUACUGAGUUUUUCCUGAGUUCUGUAACUGACUGAGAGUACUACUGAUAGUGACGUAACUGUUACUGUACUAUGACUGACCAUGGCUCUAAAUAUCAGCUAAAUUAUCGAGUAUAAGUACCCCCAGGACUCGAUAGCACAAAAUAAGAGAUAUGACAUAAACUUGAAACAUGUAAACUAAGCAUUUGAUCAUUCUUCAUUCAUUGGGGCAUUUUAACAAACACUUGCAUGUCAUGAACUUAAACACAUGCUAACAUGAUAUAACUUCACUAUUCAACUCACAUGCUUAAUUCAUCAGUCACUUGAAAGGCAUAAAUUAUGCACAUAGUACUAAUCAACAUGUAAGCACACAAUUUCAAUAUUAAAUUCACCCUUUGAAGGAUUUAGCAUGAUUUCACAUGGUAACAUAUAUAAAUUAAUUAACUCCACAUGAAAUUGAUCAUGAAACAUGGAUUUGAAACCCAAUUAAUCAUUUUUAAACAUAGAUAUUAUCAAACCCAAUAUGGAAUUCAUAUACUUCGAGUCUAAAAUUGUUUCUUGGAUUCCAAGGGUGGAAGGGACCCUUGGAUGAACACUUCACAUACCUUAGUUAAGGAAUUUCUAAAAAUUGAUGGUAGAAUCUUGAGUUCUUGAUUUGAAAUUGAAUCUUCUAGUAUUUUGUUCUUGAGCAAUUUUGAAAAAAGAUGAGUUUAAUUUCUCUCUAAGUGAUAAAUUUUGUGUUUUGGGGGUUGAAGGUUGAAGGAAAAAGACCAAAAUACCCCCAAUGAUGCAGUCUUUUAAUGACUGAAAAACUGUACCAUCGACGCACAGACCGACGCACCGCAUCAUUGGCAUCAAUGUGAUAGCCAACGCGUUAUAUCGAUUCCACGUCGACUCACUAGAAAUUGAUGCUGAGAGUUGGGAAUGAUAUUUAUCAAAGCGAUAGUCGAUGCGGCGCACCAAGAUCGUGUUGAUCCACUAUUUUAGGAUUCUAAAGGUGCUUCAAAUGAUGUCCAAAAAAUCCAAAACUUGUCCGAGAACACCUAUGUACAUUCCUGAUCGUGAAUCAACCUAAAUAUCCACCUAUAAUGGAUGUAAAGGCCAUGAAAUAAGAUUGCCAACUUUUAAAGGCUAGAAUGACACUAAGUCUGAAUACUUAGCUAGAAUAUUCUACGUUUGGGACCCCUUAACAAGAUUAGAGGACUGAAUUAAGCUAAGGAUUUUGUGGGGUCAUACAGUAUUUUGGAAUAUUUUGGUUCAGCUUCAGCUUCGGGAUAUUUCUAAACUCACACCGAGGGUAACCUUCUCUUUCUUUCAAAUUCGAGUGACAACAUACUUAGAGUUUUGGAAAUUACAUCCAGGUAAGUUCUUGCCUAUAGAUGUGAAGGAUCCCACAGUCAUGGUUAAGAGGUUACAAGACUCUUUUCCUCAACUCAAUUAACUUAUCACUCCUCCCGAUCCAAAGAUCAUCUGAAAUAAAAAACUAUCUUUUCUACCAAUUGAGUUAAACUACAAGUAGUCUAAUUCCUUGAGUCUAAACAAUAUGUAGGCUGGGCUUUAUAUAGAAAACUCGACUGCAUUCCAACCUUACCUCCCAAUUUGCUUAUUCCCCAACUUUUUGAUUUCACUAAAAUUUAAAAAUCGAGAUAGCUUGUGAUUUCUUUGAAAAUCAUGCUUUAAGUCAAGCUUUUUGAACUAAAAAUGGCCUGAAUUCUCAUAUAACCUGAGAUAUAUAGGAAAAUCGAUAUCAGGGUCCAGCCAUAACUCUACAAAAAUUAUGCGUAAACCAAUCUCUUUCAGAAAUGAAUUUGUGGUUGAAUAAAAAUUUAGAAUGUCAAACUCCCUUUGCCCAUGGUUACUUGUUGUAUUCACCUAACCCAAAGAGAGGGGUAGUUGUUGACACCUAAUUUUUUUCCUCCACGACUUAAUUUAAUCCUGGGUUACUUUAGUUCUUAAUAAAAUUAAAAUAGUUAUUUCAUCUAGAUAAAUGCGCUCCAAAAUACUUUUUUGGCUUAAUUUCAUUAUUUAAGUGAUGAUUAUACAUUUUCAUAUUCACAUAUACGAAAUUGUAUGAAUUUUGUUACUUAAAUGAACAAUUUUAUCAAAAUUGGACUUUUAGUGAGAUAGACCGUGAAAAUUAAUUCAAAUGGGUAAUAUCUUGAUUUAAAUACAAUUUGUUCUUGACAAGAAUUUAUUUGAAAAAAAUAUUUACUUGAUUUUUAUUAAAUCAAGAAGCCCGAUAUUAAAUUGAGUGUUAAUUUGUAUCGAAUUGCGAUUUAAUUUAGUCAAUUUAUCAAAUUUGGCCAUGAUUGAAAUCAAAUCGAUCACAAUUGCAGUAUAAUUAAUCGAUUGUUUUUAAAUUAUGGCUAAAAUUUAAAUAAAUUAACUAAAUGAAUAUCUUUGUACUAUUUCAUAAACACACAAAUCCCUAAUUUCUAAUUAACAGCAACCCAACAAAUAAUGAAACUCGCCAGCCCCAAACUACCGCCCCAACCUACUUUACCAGGUCCAACAAUAGACCUGACCCACUGGCCCAAUUCCCUUUUCCUUACCUAUAAGCCAACAACGAAAAACAGUAAAAGAACCCGUUAAUAACAACUUCCAUUAACGAUCAACAAUAACAAACACUGACAAUUCGAUGCUGAAAAUCUGACUCCGAUUUAGCUUUAAUCGAAUAAUGGCAACCUGUCCAACACAAUUUGAGAUCGACUUGAUUGUUUCCCACUCGUCACAUGCUCGCCCCACAUGGAUUCAUACGAGAAAAGCCAAGAAUCUUUUAAAAAUUAAUGAGUUGGCUCAUCCAAUGUUUAAAUUCAUUGUUUUUGGAAUAGAAUCAUAUAAAUUCAUACGUAUUUGUGCGAAUUCUAUUGGUUUAUUGCGAUUAUUCCUUUUCCCCAAUUUUCAUUGGCCGCCCCAUUCAAAUCUCUCCAAGAAAAUCCAAAAUCAGUACAAGAAUGACGACAAUAUUCUGCUAUCAUCCAAAAAUAUUGAAAAUAUCUCAUUUUGCAAUUCUGAAAUUACCCCGUUUCCCUCUUUUUCCACUUCAGCUGAAACUUUAAUUCACUCCUAAUCUUGUGUUCUAUAAAAAUCUCACUGUGGAGCAAUAAAAGGACAAGUCUUGAAAGUUAGAGAAAAAUCUCUCAAGAAAAGUUCUUUUUUGGUAAAUUUUUUUUGUGAAAUUCGUCGACUAAUCGAAGUUCUCGAAUUGACGGCAACGCUUUUCGGUGGUGGUCGAGCUUCCGUUGCAGUCUCGAAUCUUAUUUUGCUACUCCAAAAUAGGUAAUGCUUCAUCCCAUUUAGUUUUGGUGUUUUGUUUUUCUUCUUCUUUUUGAUUAUUCUGUAGUAAUAUUUGCUAUCUUAGUAGUGUUGUACGCUGAUAGUAUUAGUAUUAUAUGUCGGGAUUUGUUUGCUGUAGAAUCCUUAAAGGCCAUAGAAUUUUUGUGAUAUGUAUUAUAGUGUUUAAAUGCGAAUCUACUGAUUUUCUUUGAUACUUUGUUCGAACCAGUGUUCGUUGGGUCUGGUUUGUAAUUUCCUAUUUUACUUUAGCAUAUUGUUUGGUUUAUUAUCUCCAUUUUUAUGUUUUUGAUAGUAUUCUUAGCUCAUAUGUUUGUUGUUGUAAGUUGUGGUUCCCGAUUUCAACUUAAUUGCCCCCUUAUUCUAGUUAUCGAUAUAUUAUUCCAAGCUUGAAUGUUAUUUUUUUGUGUGGUAUAUUUUUUUGUGCGGUAUGAGUUCACUGUUUUGGCUUAUGAUGCUGGAAGAAUGGGCGUGUUAUUAUACUUUCCUUGAGAGGUAUGUGUAUUGUAUUUUGGUCUUGACUUAUGUGUUGAAUGUGUAAAUCUGAUCAUUGAAAAAAAAAUCUGUAACGUGUCCUUUAUUUUAGUGUCAUCAAUAAGACUUGUUAAAUCCAUUAUGUUUAAAGGCCUUUCCUAGUUCCCUGCAUUAGCAUAGGAUUUUAAGACGCAUGCAACAAUCUUUUCUUGCCUCCAUCUUAGUUUUCUCGAUGAUAUGGGAGAAGCAAAAAAUAAGAUAGGCUAUCACCAUAACUCAUCCUUAUUUUCUAGUCCUUCGUCCCAAUGAGAUAUUGGGAAGCAAUUCAUCAGGUGUGAUUUUCUCCAUGAAUGUCACUUUGACUAAACACACUUUCUUUUUUAGGUCGCACAUAUUUCUCUUAAAGCUCGUUUUUUUUCCAGGUUUGUUUCAUCACAUAAACAAUGGUCCAGAAAUUUUGUUUUGAAUUGGUGUUGUGUGUGAUUUUCUUAAUCUUCCUAAAAGAAGUAACUUAAGUUUUCUUGUUUAAACAUGAUGGAGAAGCUGAUUUGUUUCCUGGAAAUUAUAAACUAAAUUGAUAUUUGACAUGAUGCAGUUUUUUCUUUACUGUCUCAACAACAAAUAAUUGGAGUAAAAGGUUCUAUUAUCCCCUUAGUGUCACUACUUUGCUCUUUUACUCCCAAAUUAUUAGCCUCCCUCAUGCGUUAAUUAGUAUUAAUAGUGAAAAUUUGAUUUUUUUUUUACUUUCCUUACAUUUUGAUUAUCUUUAUGAAAAUUUGAGUACUCCCCUUUUUCCUUUACAUGAGCAAAUGUUUUAAAGUUAACUAGGAGUGUUGAGAGUAUUUCAAACCUUUGUACUAUUUUGCUGAAGUUAUUCAUAUGCUUUAGAAUAUGGCACUCGAUUAAUCAUAGAUAUAAAUAUUUAUGUAAAACCUUAUUGAUUGAUUAUUCUUUCCAACUAUAUGGAUGCAUUUACUACUUUCUAUUUGACUCCUAUACGCGAGUUUUGUUGCACGUUUCUUAGAUUAUUUUAAUUAUUUUUUAGAUUACAUGAUAAUUUCUUUAUAUUUUCUUUUUCUUUCUUUUUAUGUGGAUACGCUCGAAUCCUCUAUGGACUCUUUUCUCUCUUUGCAUCUUCUCUAUGGGCCCUUGAGGCCCGUCUCUCCCCUUAUCAGUUUGGAAAGACAAUCAUAUAGUGCAUGGAUACGAAGAGUUGGAACAUGGAAAAAUGGGUCAAAGGCCCUUUGUUGAAGUAGCUAAGCGACCUACAAGUCUCAUAUUUUUCUUAGUGUUGCUUUACUUGUCUUUACUCAUUUAGUUAUCUGUUUAUUCAUUCAUUUGGGGUCUCGAAGCGAAAGUUAUAUAAUUAAUACAGGUUAAGCAGGUUCUAGGCCAAAGGGUUCGAAAAGAUAGUUUAGGACUGGUUAUGGGCCAAAAGCAUAAUAUUUAGAUUAGGACAGGUAAAAAUUGGCCAAAAACCCAAAUGAAUAGUUUAGGACAGGUACAAUUGGGUUUUGGCAUAAAAGCCUAAAUCUCUUUUUCCCCUUUACCCCUUUAUAUGUUUAUUUGCCAUUUAUCCCUUCACACUUAGUUAAAUUCUCUAUUAAGCCAUCAAAAAACUGAUUUUCCAUAAACCUCAAUAAAUAUUUUCUUAAUCAAUUUCAUUUCAAAAACCAACUUCUUUUCUUAAGGUUAGUCAAAGAACUGUUUUCAAAUAGUACGGACAACCGCAAGUUAGCAGAAUACUCUUGGUGCUUUAACAAUCUUCCAAGAGUAUUAAUAGGAAUCACUUACCCAAAAUUUCUAACUUAAAUGAUUUUUUCUGUUUUGAAUCAUUUAAAUAAUUUCUAAAGGGUUUUCUUAAUUUUCCUAAAUAAAUUGUCGACUCUAAAGUCAUUUUUCCAUAAAAUAGGUAUAUGUUAUGAUGGUUGAUCUACACAAUCCAGGCUAAAGUUUUAAGUGCAUAUUAAACCUUGUUCCUUAUCCCGACAUGUGAAGUAUAUAUGUAUACGCAUUGGUUUUUAAUGAUUUUAAACUGUUGAUCAUGUCAUUAUGUUAUCCUUAUCCUCAAGUUACAUGCUAGCAUCACCCUGCUAACCGUCUUCGGACGUUGUUUUUCCAUGCGACGCAGGAAUUGGCCAUACUUCAAGUACUCCUGCUUAGUGAUUGGGAUUCGAGAUCAACUUGUGAGUUGACAUUGAAGUGGUGCAGAGGGUGAUUUCUGGUCCACGGGGGACUUGAAAUACCCGUCACACCAGGCCAUGGUUCAGGUCGUGAUAUAUAAGAUGGUUGAUGAGUUAAUCAUGAUGAUAUAUGAAUGAUACACAAGCUGGAAAUUAGUUGAAAACAACAUUACAAGGCUUGGAAUGUAUGGGGAAAAGCAUGGGAUAAGACUUGAUUGAAAAUGGACGUUUUGGAGUCAUUGGCGAGCCAUGGACCUUAGCCACUGCUUUAGGGUCCACGCCAUGCCCUUGGGGGCAUCCUAAGUGACCAAUUCAGGUGUUUCACUAUGCUAAGGACAUGCCACAGACCCCAGGAACCACGAUACGUGGCAUGGCAUGGGCCUAAGCUCAAAUCGACAACUUGUGUCCUCCUAUAAAUGGGACCCUUAAACAUUAUGUUACACACCUUGGACGACCUUAAAACUUUGAGGGAGGAUGGAGAACACUUUAAUUAGAGUUUUUCUUCCAUUACUUUGGUUUGUUUAUGGUUUUUAACAUGUAUUCAAUCAUUGCAAUUAUGGUUAUGUCCAUGAGCGGCAAAGCACCAUUUUUUGGGGUUAAGGCUAAGAACAUGAUUAAUCUUGUUAUGAGUUGAUUUGGUUUUGAUUA